rnacentral:sRNA from 1 species
AUCGGUUUGGAAUACAGACCUUAUGAAAGCAGUUUUAGUAAAGCAGUCCUCAGUUCAAGUGUUAUCCAAAGAUAUCCUUCUUCGAGAGCCUCCUCCUAAUUGCCCAAUAAGCAAAUCUAAUUACAGGCCAUUAUUGCCGCUUCUGUGGCUCAUCAAUUAAGGAAUUUUCUAUGUCUAACAAAAUGACUGGUUUAGUAAAAUGGUUCAACUCUGAUAAAGGCUUCGGCUUUAUCUCUCCAAGCGACGGCAGCAAAGAUGUAUUCGUACACUUCUCUGCAAUCCAGAGCGACAGCUACAAAACGCUGGACGAAGGUCAGCAGGUCUCUUUCACCAUCGAAAAUGGUGCUAAAGGCCCUGCAGCUGCGAACGUUACCGCUCUGUAAGUCGCGCUAAUUAUCAGCGACACUUACAAUCGCGAUGAAG